rnacentral:rRNA from 1 species
AUGUGUACUCGUAGAAAUGAGGGUGGCAUGGGUUUCUGGGAUUUUGAAGUCUUCAAUCAGGCUCUUCUUGCGAAGCAGGUGUGGCGAAUACUAACUGUACCAACCUCAUUAUGUGCGAGAGUUCUCAAAGCUCGGUAUUUUCCGGACAUGGAUAUUAUGUCAGCCACUUGCCCGAAUGGAGGGUCAUAUACAUGGCGCAGCCUGUUGCAUGGCAGGGACUUUCUUAUGCAUGGACUGAUUUGGCGAGUUGGAGACGGAGCUAGUAUUAAAGUAUAUCAUGAUAACUAG